rnacentral:rRNA from 1 species
UACGUAGGGAGCGAGCGUUGUCCGGAAUUAUUGGGCGUAAAGAGCUCGUAGGCGGUCUGUCGCGUCUGCUGUGAAAACCCGAGGCUCAACCUCGGGCCUGCAGUGGGUACGGGCAGACUAGAGUGCGGUAGGGGAGAAUGGAAUUCCUGGUGUAGCGGUGGAAUGCGCAGAUAUCAGGAGGAACACCGAUGGCGAAGGCAGUUCUCUGGGCCGUAACUGACGCUGAGGAGCGAAAGCGUGGGGAGCGAACAGG